ACACGAUUUGACUCGAUAAAACAAACUGACAGACUCAAGAAAACAUCAAAAUAAAACAUAAGAAAAAGAAAAUUGCAUCAGUAGACUAGUGACAUCCUCCCCCAGACUUGCUUCACACCGUCUCGGUGUGAGAACAAUUCCAAAAGAAAACGUCACAACCAAAAAGAAAAAAUAAAUGAAGACGCAAAAAAGAAGAAUAAAAAUAAGAA
rnacentral:lncRNA from 1 species